rnacentral:rRNA from 1 species
AACGAACGCUGGCGGCAUGCCUAACACAUGCAAGUCGAACGAGACCUUCGGGUCUAGUGGCGCACGGGUGCGUAACGCGUGGGAACCUGCCCUUAGGUUCGGAAUAACUCCCCGAAAGGGGUGCUAAUACCGGAUAAUGUCUUCGGACCAAAGAUUUAUCGCCUUUGGAUGGGCCCGCGUUGGAUUAGCUAGUUGGUAGGGUAAAAGCCUACCAAGGCGACGAUCCAUAGCUGGUCUGAGAGGAUGAUCAGCCACACUGGGACUGAGACACGGCCCAGACUCCUACGGGAGGCAGCAGUGGGGAAUAUUGGACAAUGGGCGGAAGGCUGAUCCAGCAAUGCCGCGUGAGUGAUGAAGGCCUUAGGGUUGUAAAGCUCUUUUACCCGGGAUGAUAAUGACAGUACCGGGAGAAUAAGCUCCGGCUAACUCCGUG